UCGAAUAUUUGCCUACCUUUGUUUCCCCUUUUAGCUGUUGGUUCUCCAACAAUUUCAACUUCUAUGGAUAUCAUUGAUUCAAAGGAAAGUCAGAGAUUGAAAUCGAAAGAAGCAAGAUCUAGGAGGAAAGCACUUUUGUCGAGAAUAAAAUCUUCUAAGGCUAAAUCAUUACCUUUCAUUUCAAGCUCUCUUCGACAUGAAGAUAUCCCACUGACUGGCCAGAGCUCAAGUUCAUAAAAUAGGAAAAAAAUAUAUUAAACUUCAAUCUGUCUUCAUCCUCCAGUCAUAAUGUUGGAUCUCAAUUGAGUAGAAUGUCUCUAUUUGAUAUUACUAGCAAUCAUUUUACACCAAAUUCUAAGAAGAUAGCGAGUGAAUGCCAAUACAUGGAAAAAGGCGGUCACAGAUUUUUGCACACAAUAAUUUGGUCAUACCAUUAUCUAUUGGAUUUGAUUCCUCGAUGACAGGAAGAAAUGAAAUAGUUGGUAAAAAAGGGACUUUUCAUGAAAGCGGUGAAAGUACUCUAGAUUAUGGUUCCAAUAGGUUGAAUAUGCCCCUACCUUCGUUGCCGUGUUCUCUGUUGCUUUGCAAACAAUUUCAAGUUCAAUGUCUGGCAUUGAUACAAGAGUAAUUCAGAGAUUGAAAUCGAAAGAAGCAAGAGCUAAGAGGAAAGCCAUAUUGACCAGAAUUAAAUGUGAUGAUGCUAAAUCAGUCCCGGUCAUUUCAAGCUCUAUUUAACCUGAAGCUAUCGUACUACUGACUGAUCAAAGCACAAGUUCAGAAAAUAGGCAUCAUGUAAAUGGUAUUUUAUAUUUGUUUUCUCAUUGGUUUUUUGUAGAGUUAACUUGCAAUAGUCUAAUUCGUUCAAUUUUUUAUAUUAUUACGCAAGAAAAUUUUUUUCAAACUUCCACCAAUUUUCUUCAUUCAGUCAUUAUGUUGGAUCCCAAUGGAGUAUUAUGCCUCUAUUUGAUAUUACUAACAAUAAUCCAAUUCAAAGAAGAUGGAGAGUGAGAAAUCAACAUUGCCAAAAUAUGAAAAAAUGAAGUCCAGAAUUUCUGAAGACAAUGACUCCAUUAUACCCUUAUCUCUUGGUUUUGAUUCCUCGAUGGCAGGGGAUGGUUCUAAAAAGAUGGAGAGUGUCAAAAAAACAUUGCCCAUAGAUGGAUAAAGGAAGUCAUGAAUUUCUGGACACAAUAAUUCUGUCACACCCUUAUCUCUAGGAUUUGAUUCUUGAAUGCGGGGUCUUAUUCUUAUAUCCAUCAUGUAUUAUAAAACGAAUACCACAUCCCAUUUAGUAAAUUCAAUUGUUAUUUCAUGUUAUUUGUAGGAUUAAAUUUAAAUUGUUGUUAUGGUUUUACUGAAAUGUAAAUUGUUUUUACCGAUUCUUUUGAAUGAACUCCAAUGAAUUAAGGUUCUUUUUAUUUAUAUUGAUCUGUUGUAGGAGGUGGCAUUAUAAGUGCAAUUUCCACACUUGAAAGUUUGAAGGAAUCGAGAGCGACGAGAAAAUCUAUUUUGUCAAUGAAGAGGUCUUCGAAAAGAGUUGCAAAUUGCAUUACAGGUUUGUUACUUUAUGCUUCGGAUCUGGGCAAAGUUAAGGGCACAUGAUCAACUGCCUUUUCAUUAUGUUGUUUAAAAGGCAAGGUUGAGCUACCUAUCUCCCAAAACCACCUCCCCUUCUUCUUGAUUUAUUGGAUGACAAGAACUAAGGUCCAAGAACCUCAAGGAGAAUAUAAGAGCAUACAACAACAUGUUUGCAUUUACUUUCAUGGGUGGUAAGGUAUUAACAUCGUUAAAUGAUGGCGGUGGUCCCCCCCAGUUCCUUCUGAGUGGGAAAAAUUACCAUCGGAUAGGUUCUUUGAUUCGCUGUGUACACGAACCUCCUAAAUUUGCCCAACUGUAUAUAUACGACACACAAAAUGAAAAUGCAAACAGAAUGAAGAACCUAAAGUAUGAGUAGUUUUUUUAAUUAUUAAUAAUACAUCAUUGAUGUUUCCUUCCGUACCUUAUUGUCUAAUGUCUUUAUUUUAAUAUGGGUUGUAGUUCUAAUGGAUUUGCUCAAGGUCUUGAUUAUACAUCAGUGGAAGAUCUGAAACAAAUGAUGGAUGAACACAAUGUUCUAGCCAAAAUAUUUAGACGAGUCAAUGACUUUUUGAAUUCAAACAAAUAUGCUGAACUACCUGUCCGCCUUUUUAGAGCUAGGGGAAGGAUCCUAGAACUUACGACAUGUCGUCUGCUGAUGAAGUCACAGCCUUGAUUGUAGGAGACAUCAAUGACAUGCAGUUUGGAAGAGAAGCAGUGGUUAAACUAAGGGAUGAUGUUCAAAAGAAUAUUCAUGAAACUCAUACUGCAUUCAUUCCUCUGCAGUACCCACUUAUGUUUCCUUAUGGCGAUGAUGGAUUUCAUGAAGAUAUCCAUAUUAGUGAAUUAUUCAGAAGAAUGGGUAGCUAUAAAAAAGCACAAAGUUUCAUUGAGGAAUAUUAUCUCACUUCGUCUACAAGAGCGAUUCCAUGAGUUUGGAAAUAUUCUUUAUACUAAAAGAUUGCUUCAGCAGUUUGUUGUUGACAUGUACACUAUGAUUGAAGCUAACAGGUUGGCUUACAUUCGUCACAAUCAAAAUAA